rnacentral:lncRNA from 1 species
GCCGAACGGUCACGAAGGACUCCCGACAACAUGUAAUAAUUCUGCAGAAUACUGCAAAGUUAUGAUCAAACCUUAUUCUUACCAAUUCACACCAUUUAUCAACAUCAACACAUACAAAUCAAUAUGCAGAAAACUUCAACAUUUCCAAUAUCAACCAAACAUCCUAACAUACCACCAUUUAAAACAUGCAAUCAUCCAC